CUUGGAGGAAGUAAAGAACGACAAAACGGACUAGUAUUCUGCCAGCAGCACAAACGAUGACGUCACUUUCGUACGGACCUGAGCCCUAGGACCAUGCCCCAGGACUACCUGACAUGAUGACUCCUUGCUGUCCCCAGUCCAUCUGGCCAUGCUGCUGCUCCAGUUUCAACUGGCCUGAGCCCUAGGACCAUGUCCCAGGACUACCUGACAUGAUGACUCCUUGCUGUCCCCAGUCCACCUGGCCAUGCUGCUGCUCCAGUUUCAACUGUUCUGCCUUACUAUUAUUCGACCAUGCUGGUCAUUUAUGAACAUUUGAACAUCUUGGCCAUGUUCUGUUAUAAUCUCCACCCGGCACAGCCAGAAGAGGACUGGCCACCCCACAUAUGCUCUCUCUAAUUCUCUCUUUCUUUCUCUCUCUCGGAGGACCUGAGCCCUAGGACCAUGCCCCAGGACUACCUGACAUGAUGACUCCUUGCUGUCCCCAGUCCACCUGGCCGUGCUGCUGCUCCAGUUUCAACUGUUCUGCCUUACUAUUAUUCGACCAUGCUGGUCAUUUAUGAACAUUUGAACAUCUUGGCCAUGUUCUGUUAUAAUCUCCACCCGGCACAGCCAGAAGAGGACUGGCCACCCCACAUAGCCUGGUUCCUCUCUAGGUUUCUUCCUAGGUUUUGGCCUUUCUAGGGAGUUUUUCCUAGCCACCGUGCUUCUACACCUGCAUUGCUUGCUGUUUGUGGUUUUAGGCUGGGUUUCUGUACAGCACUUUGAGAUAUCAGCUGAUGUACGAAGGGCUAUAUAAAUACAUUUGAUAUGAUUUGAUUUGAUUUGAGAUGGACGUAUAUUAUUUUUAGGACAAGCAAGGGUCUUGCCACCAUUAUAAUCUAACUGAAAGCAGAUAUGGGCGUUAUUGGGCGUGAACAAGCAGGAAGCCUGAACUAAAAAGAUAAUGGUGGCAGGAGAAUUAGGGGAAGUAUGUUUAUUUGCAUAUGGGUUGGACCCAUAUGCUAUAUGUGGAUAAAUACAGGAGCCGGGGCUCUGGGAAGAGUGUGAGGCUCUGGGAAGAGUUCCGGCUUGCUAUACUUUGUAUUAAAAGCCUAUUUGAUUUCACAA